GAAUGUACCACCACACCUGGCCAUGCCUAAUUCUCUACUUAACAGCGUUGACAUAUUUAGUUCAUCAAUUCUACUAAACCGUUAAAUUCUCUUGCCGUUCUUACAGUGUGAGCAAUACCAUGAACUGAAGGUGUCAGUUUCCUCGGACUCAACGUAGCUUGGGUGAAACAGCACUACAGGCUGGAAAACUAUUGUAUCACAGAUCUGCCCGACGGCUCUCUGCCCUGCUCGGUCCCAUCUACCUGCACUGCUGACUGUCUGGGGCUGCGACGAAGGCCACUGCAUAGAUAUCUUACCCCGUCUGGUAUGUUUUAUUCCAAAUACAGGCCGCAGCGGAGAGAUGAGAAGAAUCACAUGAAAAUAUGGCCUUUAGCUCCCUGCAGGCCUUACCCCCCACCUAAACAUGAAGUUUGCAAAGCUUGUAACAGCAAUUGAGGAACCUCCUUUGGAGUCCCCAAAGGUCAAAAUUGUUUUCAUAAUACUAUUAAGAUUUCUUUAGCUUUUUCACUAUCAUUCUUUCACAAGUGUCUGGUAGAGUUCUGCAGACUGUGUGAUCACAAUAGAUUGAAUGCAGAUGCAGAUAGGACAAUACAGAUGUCUCCUAUUAAAGCACAUAAUUAAACAGAUUUGUUAAAGUGCGAAACAAUGCCACCCUUCUCACUAAUUUUUGGUUCUCCUUUGGGAAACAGUUACUUUUCAUUAAAAAAUGUAUUCACACUAUCAAAUAGCAGGCUUAUUAUUUCUAUUUCUAAAUGAAUGAAUACAAUUUCAAAGUUCUUUUUUCUAAUAUGGUAAAUAUUGAUAAGACCCCAAACAAAUCAAACAUUUUUGAGACCCUCAACAAUUUUUAAGAAUGUAAAAGAGUCCUCAAGACCAAAAGGUUUGCUGGUACAGGAUACGCUGUGGACGAAUACUAUACUGGAGUUUAGUUGUACGUGCAUGUGUAAUCAGAGACACACACCUUCUGGUCUACUUAUUUAUGCAACAGUUGUUGCUGGGGGAAAAAAAAUUCUUGAGUCAGGUUUUUAAAACCAAGUAAUAUUUAAAUCCGCUGGAAGGAACUGGGCUCCAAAGGGGUCCUACAGAAGGAGGACGAUAGGCCAGAAAGGGUUACCUUCACCAAUAGUUAAGGUAGUAAGGGGUACACCUGGGACUAGAACCCAAUAGUUUUGUUAAGGGAAAAAAACCAUUUUCAUAAUAAUAGAACUGAAUAAUAUAGAACUGAAUCACCAUCUAUCAUUCCUUUAAGUCAAACAUGCUUGUGGAUGCCUACAGUCUCAAAGUAAACAUACCGAUAUCCAGCAUAUCUGAAGUCUACACUCUUAUUACACGCAGGAGUCAGCCUUUUGGACCUCAGAGUGACACCAUUCAUAUGGUUAAUUCUGAGAUGACUAUUACGAACAGAGAUGAUGAGAUGACUACUCCUUUAUCAUUUUUAGAUGACCUUCCAUUACAAACAUAACAUAUACACUGUGUGACAACUAGAAAACACCUCUGUUUUUAAUCCCUUGCUCUCCUGCGUACCGGCUUAGGAAGACUGGCUUUAGGACUUUGGCUGUACCAUGCACAGGUCUAAGCAUUUAUUUCAUAUAGUUAGCUGACCGAUGACUACAAUUUGAAAAAUCGUGUGAGUAAUGUUUGAUAGGGAACAAAUCCGUACGGACGAAGGUGAAAUAUAGAAGAGAUGGAGGAAAGGACCAGAAAAGGAACAUUAAACUUCAUACCAUUUUAACUAUUGCUGUCUAUAUUUGACUAUCAAGGAAAAAAAAAAAAAAAAGCCCUGCUCUGCUCUUUGGGUUUUUCUUCCUGUGCUUUAACUUGACAAAGCAAAACAGACCUUCUGGGAUUAACUUUUCCCUUUUCACUGCAGGUCACGGGCUUGACGUGCUGGGUGUUGGCCACCUGUUCUUCCACCACCAUCUCCACCUCCACCUCCUCCUUUGUGGCCGCAGCAAUGUCACGGCUCAUGCGUGGGGGAGGGGAGCAGGCAGGAACUCGGCGGCAGAUGCAUUUUUCACCCCCAAACACAAUAACCUCCCGCAGUGGUCUCCGGGCGCCCUCGGAUGCUGUCCCCCCAGACUGACUCCCCGGUGACCCACGCGGCCCCCUGCGCUCCGGGCAGGACCGCUGUCCGCCCGGCCCGCGCUCCGGGGAGAAGUUUCCACCGCUCGCAGGGAUGCUGGCUGCAGCGGGGCAGGCAGCG